ensembl:lncRNA
GGGGCCGGAGCCUCCGGACGCCAACGCUGUAAAUACGGAGAGGCCCAGUUGGAUACGCAGCCAGAAGGGGCUGGGACACCAAUACGUCCCCCUCAGGCCCGAACCCUUGGUCUCUGGGCUCCGUGGAGAUCACACCUGCCCACUCCUCAACGACCGUUUUAGUGAGGAAUUCCUCACUGCCUGUUUCGCAGUUUUCAGUCGGGAAAGUCGCGGCCAGGCCUGGCAGGGCGCGGGCUGCGGCCACGUGGAAGGUUUGGGUCGGGAGCCCCACUACCCAACUCCGAUGACUGCGCGGCCCUGGCGCCGCAGGCCGCGGACUUCCCCGGCACAACGAAACCCGCGUCCUGCGCCCGCUCCGGAGGGGCCGAACCACCCCAGCGGCCAAGCUCUGGCCUCAACAUUUGAGCGAGCCCUCCGGCCCUGACCGGACCUGAGCACCCUCUGGCCCUUCCUGGAAGGGACGCUCCUUUGACAAUUAAAGAGGUGAGGCAGAACCCAGGCUCCUCCCUCCCAGAGCAGGCCUCUCUCAGCUGCCCAGGAAAUGCCCUCUGAAGGUCCCAGAAGCAGAGUGAUGGGCAGGAUGCAGGUGGACAUGUGUGGAGUCAGCUGAGUGCUCCUGAGGCUGACCAUCUCCCAGGAACACCUUGUCACUGGUCAAGGCUCAAGUGAAUUCUUCUUGUUGUACAAGACGCUAAUGGGAACCUCUUUUUUCACAACGUCUGUGAAGAUUUCACGUGGUUUAUAACGAUGCCUACUGACCCGUCCAUUUCUUCAUCACGUUGAAGAAGGUAGGAGAGCUUUGAGAUGUGCAUUUCCUGUUUCUGGACCUCAGAACCUCUGAUCAUGGUGUCUCCAAAUGGGGUCCCCAAAGGCUGAGCCCAAGACCAAGGCUGAGUGAAGCCCCCCUGGCAUCAUGUGAAAUUUCCAGACCAGGGAUGGAACCUGUGCCACAGUAGCAAACCAAGCCACAGCGGUAAUGACGCUGGAUCCUUAACCCUCUGAGCCAAAGAAAAUUCCCUGGUUUUGGUUUGGUUUUGGGUUUGGGUUUGGGGUUUUUUGUUUUUGUUUUGUUUUGUUUUGUUUGUUUGUUUGUUUUGCUUUUUUUAGGGCAACACCCACGGCCUAUGGAAGUUCCCAGACUAGGGGUCAAAUUGGAGCUGCAGCUGCUGGCCCACACCAUAGCCACAGCAAUGGCAGAUCCAAGUCGCAUUUGUGACCUACACCACAGCUCACAGCAAUGCCAGAUGCUUAACCCAUUGAGCAAGGCCAGGGACCGAACCUGGGUCCUCAUGGAUAACUAGCUGGGUUUGUAACCCACUGAGCCACAGUGGGAACCAGGAGUUCCCGUCAUGGCGCAGUGGUUAACGAAUCCGACUAGGAGCCAUGAGGUUGCGGGUUCGGGUCCUGCCCUUGCUCAGUGGGUUAACGAUCCGGCGUUGCCGUGACCUGUGGUGUAGGUUGCAGACGUGGCUCGGAUCCCGCGUUGCUGUGGCUCUGGCGUAGGCCGGUGGCUACAGCUCCGAUUCAACCCCUAGCCUGGGAAUCUCCAUAUGCCGUGGGAGCGGCCCAAGAAAUAGCAACAACAACAACAGACAAAAGACAAAAAAAGACAAAAAAAAAAAAGGAUAAAGCCAACCUUGAGCAUUUUAGCCCAGGGCCACGCUGCUGGGCUAGAGUUUGCUUUUGAGAAGCAGGGCAGCAGGAAGGGGGCCAGUGAAUGGUGAGGGGUCCCCAGGGGUCAUUCUGAGCUCCCUAUCAUCCCCAGUCACGAUUGGGCCUUCAGGCAGCUCACCUCUUGUUCUGGCCUCAGACUCCCAGGGCCCAGAGGUGUUGGCGUAACCCUGAACUUCUGGGACAUUUCACCCAGAUGCCAACUCUGGAUGCCUUGGAGACCCCCAGACCUGGGCCUGAGCCCCUUCUCCGCAGCCCAGGCCCCACCACCCACCGGCGUCCCCUCUCAGGCAACAUCUUCAUUACGGAGCCGAGUUGUUUAAAUAAAUGAAUUAAUAUUGAC